UACGUAGGGACCAAGCGUUGUUCGGAUUUACUGGGCGUAAAGAGCGCGUAGGCGGCCCUGUAAGUCCGCUGUGAAAGUCGAGGGCUCAACCCUCGAAUGCCGGCGGAUACUGUCGGGCUAGAGUCCGGAAGAGGCGAGUGGAAUUCCUGGUGUAGCGGUGAAAUGCGCAGAUAUCAGGAGGAACACCUACGGCGAAGGCAGCUCGCUGGGACGGUACUGACGCUGAGACGCGAAAGCGUGGGGAGCAAACAGG
rnacentral:rRNA from 1 species